rnacentral:rRNA from 1 species
CCCGCGGCAAGACGGAAAGACCCCGUGAACCUUUACUAUAGCUUGACACUGAACAUUGAGCCUUGAUGUGUAGGAUAGGUGGGAGGCUUUGAAGUGUGGACGCCAGUCUGCAUGGAGCCGACCUUGAAAUACCACCCUUUAAUGUUUGAUGUUCUAACGUUGACCCGUAAUCCGGGUUGCGGACAGUGUCUGGUGGGUAGUUUGACUGGGGCGGUCUCCUCCUAAAGAGUAACGGAGGAGCACGAAGGUUGGCUAAUCCUGGUCGGACAUCAGGAGGUUAGUGCAAUGGCAUAAGCCAGCUUGACUGCGAGCGUGACGGCGCGAGCAGGUGCGAAAGCAGGUCAUAGUGAUCCGGUGGUUCUGAAUGGAAGGGCCAUCGCUCAACGGAUAAAAGGUACUCCGGGGAUAACAGGCUGAUACCGCCCAAGAGUUCAUAUCGACGGCGGUGUUUGGCACCUCGAUGUCGGCUCAUCACAUCCUGGGGCUGAAGUAGGUCCCAAGGGUAUGGCUGUUCGCCAUUUAAAGUGGUACGCGAGCUGGGUUUAGAACGUCGUGAGACAGUUCGGUCCCUA